GCGAAAUUCCUAUUGUUUCGUGUGAUAACAACCAUUGUAGUUUAAUAUUUCAUGCUGUUUGUCUUAAAGAGUGGUUUAGUACUUUGGCUGACGGAAAAACGUUUCUUGAUGUUGCUUUUGGUGUCUGUCCAUUUUGCAAAGCGAAAUUAUCCACAUCUUUCCAAGAAAUUCUGUCAUAAUCUUUAUAAUUUGAAUUAAUAAAGGUACGUACUUAAAA